GUCGGUAGGUGCGCCCAGGCCAAACAGUGGGGCUGGACACAGGGACGGUGGCCAAAAAAGAGUGCUGAAUUUUUGCUGCACAUGCUUAAAAAUGCAGAGAGUGAUGCUGAACUUAAGGGUUUGGAUGUAGAUUCUCUGGUCAUUGAACACAUCCAGGUGAACAGGCUCCUAAGAUGCGCAGACGAACCUACAGAGCUCACGGCCGGAUUAACCCAUACAUGAGCUCCCCUUGCCACAUCGAGAUGAUCCUCAUUGAGAAGGAACAGAUUGUUCCAAAGCCAGAAGAGGGGGUUGCACAGAAGAAAAAGAUAUCCCAGAAGAAACUGAAGAAACAAAAGCUCAUGGCACGGGAAUAAAUUCAGCAUAAAUAAAUGCGGAUAAAGUAAAAAAGAAAAAAAAGAA
rnacentral:lncRNA from 1 species